UACAGAGGUCUCAAGCGUUGUUCGGAUUCAUUGGGCGUAAAGGGUGCGUAGGUGGCGCUGUAAGUCAGGUGUGAAAUUUCGGAGCUUAACUCCGAAACUGCAUUUGAUACUGCGGUGCUUGAGGACUGGAGAGGAGACUGGAAUUUACGGUGUAGCAGUGAAAUGCGUAGAGAUCGUAAGGAAGACCAGUGGCGAAGGCGGGUCUCUGGACAGUUCCUGGACAGCUGAGG
rnacentral:rRNA from 1 species